CAGCACCCCGAGUGGUCGGGACGAUUAUUGGGCCUAAAGCAUCCGUAGCCGGUCCCACGAGUCCUCCGUUAAAUCCAACUGCUGAACAGAUGGGCCGCGGAGGAUACUAUGGGGCUAGGAGGCAGGAGAGGCAAGCGGUACUCAGUGGGUAGGGGUAAAAUCCGUUGAUCCACUGAAGACCACCAGUGGCGAAGGCGGCUUGCCAGAAUGCGCUCGACGGUGAGGGAUGAAAGCUGGGGGAGCAAACCGGAUUAGAUACCCGAGUAGUCC
rnacentral:rRNA from 1 species